GUGGGCUGGGACCUGCACUGUCCCUUGGCUCGCUGGGCACCCAGGGACCCACGGGGACGUGGCACAUGCUGUCUACAGUCAUUGCAGGCUCUCACAGCCACGGCGCUCGGCUUGGUACCCGGCGUUUAAGCAAAGCUCCUCAGAAUGUUUAGGGAUGAAGGACACCCUGCCGGCCAGCCGCGAUCUGGUGAACAACCUGAGAUGCUAGCAGUUGGGGAGUCUGGUGAGAGACAGCCCUACAGGUGCAAGGAGCAGACCCAGCUGGGGCCCUGCAGCCAGCAGAGGGGAUGGCACCUGACUGCACCUCUCUCGGAAGUUCCGGGAGCCCAGGUCCCGUGGCAGCGAGAGUCCACUUGCCGCCUCCCCUCCCAACACCCACUAAGAAAAGCCGCACCUACGGCCCUCUGGAAGAACUCAGACUAAGAUGCUCCGGAGAAGUCCCGAGGCCCCACCCCGGUACCUGGGAAGCGAACUUAUUUGGAAGCUGUCUUUGCAAAUGUGGUUGAAACAAGGUCAGACCAGGCCAGAGUGGACCCUUGACCUCCC
rnacentral:lncRNA from 1 species